rnacentral:rRNA from 1 species
AUAUCAAUAAGCGGAGGAAAAGAAACCAACAGGGAUUGCCUUAGUAACGGCGAGUGAAGCGGCAACAGCUCAAAUUUGAAAUCUGGUCCCUCUCGGGUCCCGAGUUGUAAUUUGUAGAGGAUGCUUCGGAUCAGGCUGCGGUUUAAGUCCGUUGGAACAGGGCGUCGUAGAGGGUGAGAACCCCGUCUCUGACCGUGAGCCGCGUCCAUGUGAAGCUCCUUCGACGAGUCGCGUUGUUUGGGAAUGCAGCGCAAAAUGGGUGGUAAAUUUCAUCUAAAGCUAAAUAUUGGCCAGAGACCGAUAGCGCACAAGUAGAGUGAUCGAAAGAUGAAAAGCACUUUGAAAAGAGAGUUAAACAGCAUGUGAAAUUGUUGAAAGGGAAGCGCUUGCCGCCAGACUUGUGGGCAGUCAUUCAGCCGUGAUUCUUCACGGUGCACUUGAUCGUCUCCAGGCCAGCAUCGGUUUGGACAGCCAGUUAAAGGCUCUGGGAAUGUAUCGACCCUCCGGGGUCGACUUAUAGCCCAGGGUGCCAUGUGGCUCGUCUAGACCGAGGAACGCGCUCUGCACGGAUGCUGGCGUAAUGGCUGUAAGCGACCCGUCUUGAAACACGGACCAAGGAGUCUAACAUCUAUGCGAGUGUUAGGGUGUCAAACCCUUGCGCGCAAUGAAAGUGAACGGAGGUAGGAGCCCCUUGGGCGCACUAUCGACCGAUCCUGAUGUUCUCGGAUGGAUUUGAGUAAGAGCAUAGCUGUUGGGACCCGAAAGAUGGUGAACUAUGCGUGUAUAGGGUGAAGCCAGAGGAAACUCUGGUGGAGGCUCGCAGCGGUUCUGACGUGCAAAUCGAUCGUCAAAUACGCGUAUAGGGGCGAAAGANUANUNGANCCNUNUGGUAGNUGGUNCCUGCNGAAGUUNCCCNCNGGANNGCAGUNANGUUUUCAGUUUUAUGAGGUAAAGCGAAUGAUUAGAGGCCUUGGGGUUGAAACAACCUUAACCUAUUCUCAAACUUUAAAUAUGUAAGAAGCCCUUGUUACUUAAUUGAACGUGGGCAUUUGAAUGUAUCGUUACUAGUGGGCCAUUUUUGGUAAGCAGAACUGGCGAUGCGGGAUGAACCGAACGUGAGGUUAAGGUGCCAGAAUACACGCUCAUCAGAUACCACCAUCUCUGUGGUAUCCAACCCCCCUCGGAGGAAUAGACUCUCCGGGGAGACAGCCUCUUUUUUCUCGGUUCGAGGAAGAGGCGAGCCCUUUGUUAUGAGGGGAUGGUUAUAAAAGUAGCCGGCCCUCAACCGUGCAUCACGGUCCACAGAUCAAGCAAAGGCUGGCGGUGAGCUCGUCACCGCUCGAGAUAUGAUCGGCCCCGAAACGUUGCAGUUUCGAGGACCAGCGCAAAAGGUGUUAGUUCAUCCAGACAGCCGGACGGUGGCCAUGGAAGUCGGAAUCCGCUUAGGAGUGUGUAACAACUCACCGGCCGAAUGAACUAGCCCUGAAAAUGGAUGGCGCUUAAGCGUGUUACCUAUACCUCGCCGUUAAAGUUUUAAGGAUGCUUUAACGAGUAGGCAGGCGUGGAGGUUUGUGACGAAGCCUUGGGGGUGACCCCGGGUCGAACAACCUCUAGUG